GAUGAAGAACGUAGCGAAAUGCGAUAACUAAUGUAAAUUGCAGAAUUCCGUGAAUCAUCGAGUCUUUGAACGCACAUUGCGCCCCCUGGUAUUCCGGGGGGCAUGCCUGUCCGAGCGUCAUUGCUGCCCAUCAAGCACGGCUUGUGUGUUGGGUCCUCGUCCCCCCCGGGGGACGUGCCCGAAAGGCAGCGGCGGCACCGCGUCCGGUCCUCGAGCGUAUGGGGCUUUGUCACCCGCUCUGCAGGCCCGGCCGGCGCUGGCCGACGCGAAAGCAACCAUUUUUUCUCCAGGUUGACCUCGGAUCAGGUAGGGAUACCCGCUGAACUUAAGCAUAUCAAUAAGCGGAGGA
rnacentral:misc_RNA from 1 species